CAACCCUCAAGCUCUGCUUGGUAUUAGGUCUCACCCGUUAGGGCGGACCGUAAAAUCAGUGGCGGUGCCUUUUGGCUUCUAGCGUAGUAAUUUUUCUCGCUUUGGAGUACCAAUUGUGUGCCUGCCAACAACCCCAAUUUUAUCAAA
rnacentral:misc_RNA from 2 species